ACACAUGCAAGUCGAGGGGUAUAGUAGCAAUACUAGAGACCGGCGCACGGGUGCGUAACGCGUAUGCAAUCUGCCUUUCACAGAGGGAUAGCCCAGAGAAAUUUGGAUUAAUACCUCAUAGUAUAGCGACAUCGCAUGAUGAUGCUAUUAAAGUCACAACGGUGAAAGAUGAGCAUGCGUCCCAUUAGCUAGUUGGUAAGGUAACGGCUUACCAAGGCAACGAUGGGUAGGGGUCCUGAGAGGGAGAUCCCCCACACUGGUACUGAGACACGGACCAGACUCCUACGGGAGGCAGCAGUGAGGAAUAUUGGUCAAUGGGCGCAAGCCUGAACCAGCCAUGCCGCGUGCAGGAUGACGGUCCUAUGGAUUGUAAACUGCUUUUGCACAGGAAGAAACACUGAUUCGUGAAUCAGCUUGACGGUACUGUGAGAAUAAGGAUCGGCUAACUCCGUGCCAGCAGCCGCGGUAAUACGGAGGAUCCAAGCGUUAUCCGGAAUCAUUGGGUUUAAAGGGUCCGUAGGCGGUCUGGUAAGUCAGUGGUGAAAGCCCAUCGCUCAACGGUGGAACGGCCAUUGAUACUGCUGGACUUGAAUUAUUAGGAAGUAACUAGAAUAUGUAGUGUAGCGGUGAAAUGCUUAGAGAUUACAUGGAAUACCAAUUGCGAAGGCAGGUUACUACUAAUGGAUUGACGCUGAUGGACGAAAGCGUGGGUAGCGAACAGGAUUAGAUACCCUGGUAGUCCACGCCGUAAACGAUGGAUACUAGCUGUUGGAAGCAAUUUCAGUGGCUAAGCGAAAGUGAUAAGUAUCCCACCUGGG
rnacentral:rRNA from 1 species